rnacentral:rRNA from 1 species
UACAGAGGUCCCAAGCGUUGUUCGGAUUCACUGGGCGUAAAGGGUGCGUAGGUGGCGAAGUAAGUCGGAUGUGAAAUCUCCGAGCUCAACUCGGAAAUGGCAUUGGAAACUACUUUGCUCGGGGGUCGGAGGGGGGACUGGAAUUCUCGGUGUAGCAGUGAAAUGCGUAGAUAUCGAGAGGAACACCAGUGGCGAAGGCGAGUCCCUGGACGACUCCUGACACUGAGGCACGAAAGCUAGGGGAGCAAACAGG